rnacentral:rRNA from 1 species
UACGAAGGGGGCUAGCGUUGUUCGGAAUUACUGGGCGUAAAGCGCACGUAGGCGGAUUUGUAAGUCAGGGGUGAAAUCCCGGGGCUCAACCUCGGAACUGCCUUUGAUACUGCAAGUCUCGAGUCCGAUAGAGGUGAGUGGAAUUCCUAGUGUAGAGGUGAAAUUCGUAGAUAUUAGGAGGAACACCAGUGGCGAAGGCGGCUCACUGGUCCGGUACUGACGCUGAGGUGCGAAAGCGUGGGGAGCAAACAGG